rnacentral:lncRNA from 1 species
CACGAUCAGCCCUGACUUAAAGAUUCAACAGAAUCCACCUCUUGAUGGGAGAUGAAGAAUGCACGUAUGGGGCUGGAAGGAACGGAAAGUGACCAGGAUGCAGCAAAAAGACACUGUCUAUGAAGCAGAGAAUGAGCCCUACUAGACAAUGAAUCUGCUGGCAUCUUGAUCUUGGACUUCCCAGCCUCCAGAAAUGUGAGCGAUACAUUUCUAUUGUCUAUAAAUUACGCAGUAUAAGGUAUCUUGUUAGAGCGGCUCAAGUGGACUAAAACAGGCUGUGUGGUGGUCUUAAUACAUAGCCUCAUUAUCCUUUGAGCCUCCUCCCAUGAGAGGUGGGGUUUCUGUCCUCUAUUCUUGAUUCUGGGCUGGCUUCUGAUUGCUUCAACCAGUAGAGAAGGGCAGAAGUGAAACUAUGUGACUCCAAAGUUGGGGCAGAAAAGUGCAGGUAGCUUCUAACUAUUCCUCUUGGGACACUCAGUCUGGGGGAAGCCAACAGCUUGUAAGAAGUCUGACCACUCUGAGCCUCCCAUACUGAAAAGGCCAUAUGUAGAUGCUCCAGUUAACAGCGCCAGCUAAGCUUCUAGCCGACAUCCAGUUGCCAGCCAUGUGAUGAGUGGUCUUGGACGUUUAGCCCAGUUGAGCUUUCAGACAACUGCAGCCCAGGCCAACCUCUGACUGCAACCACAUGACUUGAAGCAAGAACUACUCAGCUGUGCCCUUCCCCAAAUCAUGAGCAAAAUGAAAUGGCUGUUUUCAGCUGCCAAAUUUUGGGGUAAUAUGUCAGGCAUCCAUAGUAUGUGGAAUAGGCCAUUUCUUUAGUGCUUUCUCCUUCACAAAGACCUCCAUAGUCCUAACAUCUCAGAGUCGACUUGACGUCCCCACUGGAUCAUGUCCCAUCCCAGUCUGCGGACAUCUCAAACUUAACAUGUCCAAAAAUAAACUCUUGGUCCCAGGCCUGUCUCUCACUGCUUAGUCUUCCCUGUCCAAUAAAUGGCACCUCCAUUCCCAGUUGUGUAAGGCAGAAGUCUGGGCAUUGUCCUUGAAUUCUUUCUUCCUGUCAACCCCACAGGCAAUCUCUCUGAAAGGUCUCUUGGCUUUACUUCUAAAAUGCAGCUCAGGCCGGGUGCAGUGGCUCACACCUGUAAUCCCAGCACUCUGGGAGACCGAGGGGGGCGGAUCACCUGAGGGCAGGAGUUCAAGACCAGCCUGGCCAACAUCAUGAAACCUCAUCUCUAUUAAAAAAAAUAAUUAGCUGGGCAUGGUGGCACAUGCCUGUAAUCCCAGCUACUUGGGAGGUUGGAG